UACGUAGGGUGCAAGCGUUAAUCGGAAUUACUGGGCGUAAAGCGUUCGCAGGCGGUUUUGUAAGUCUGUCGUGAAAUCCCCGGGCUCAACCUGGGAAUUGCGAUGGAGACUGCAAGGCUAGAAUCUGGCAGAGGGGGGUAGAAUUCCACGUGUAGCAGUGAAAUGCGUAGAGAUGUGGAGGAACACCGAUGGCGAAGGCAGCCCCCUGGGUCAAGAUUGACGCUCAUGCACGAAAGCGUGGGGAGCAAACAGG
rnacentral:rRNA from 1 species